UUUUUCUUUAAAAAUAAAAAUUUAUUUAUUUGAGAGAGAGAGAGAGCACGAAUGACAUGGAGGGACAGCAGGAAAGGGAGAAGCAGACUCCCAGCUGAUCAGGGAGCCUGCCUGGGGGUCGAUCCCAGGAGAGAAGAUCAUGACCUGAGCCAAAGGCAGACAUCUUUGCUCUUUCUCUUACAUUUAUGGCUGACGUGUUUAGUUCUCAUUAAAUUUGCCCCCUCUCUGUGCUUACUAUGACAGAAGUACAUGCCAGGUUGUGUGGUAGAAACCAGAAACGAUGUCUCACAUACUGUCCAUGGCUGCGUCCCUUGCCCUACAUCAGAUGUGUCCUACCUUCCUCUUUCAUUGCCAAUUUCCACUGCCUCAUCAACCCCAGCAAGGAAAAUGUGAGAAUGACAUUUGCUCUGGAGAAUAUGAGAGUCACAGUGACGGCCACCAGUGCAGGGAAAAGAAGUUCUUCCCAUGAUCUGGCCUCUCUCAGGAAUCGUAUUGGGAUUUGAAGCCAAAGAAAAAGAGUGCAUAUUAGUCCUUGGGCUUUUACUAAAUGAAGACUUGGGUCGCACUUGCCUCUGUGGUGGUGGCCCUUGGUGUUCCUGAAUGAUGGACUGACUGCCCGCCCUGCCCAGCGCUGGGCUCGCAGCUCCCAGGUCGGCCAGCUCAUGAGUCCACCUUCCCCGCCACGGGCUCGCCGCUUGCCAGCCCCGGAGGAAACACGGUGCAUCUGCGCUCAGCCUGGCCUACUUGCUUCUUCCCACCUUCAAAAACAGGGAACAGAAAUAAGAGCACUUCAGGCACAACUAAAGGGAAGGAUCCUCCUCCGGCCACUGCACUGGGGCAUGUUCUGAUUGGCUGAGGUCGUCUAGGCAACUGUCCAACCAGAGAGUGGAACGGGGCUGUUUGGCUUUGAACUACUGUCUGUUAUUACCGUUCGUCCAAUCAGACAUGACUAUGUCAAACUUAUUUGAAUACACGGACUGUAAAGGAGCCCCUUACUCCAAGUCCCGGAAAGCCAUCAGUCUUUGUUAGAGACCGAGUCAUGUUCCAGUGGUUGACCGUCUAAGGGGUUUUCCUGAGUCUCUAGGGAAGGCGGUGAGAAUGUGAGGACCGUAAACAGGAGUUUUGUUGUUGGGCGAGAUGGCAAAGCAGCGUGGUCCUGAAGUUCAGCAAUGGUCCUGGGCGUUGUUUCUCCUGGGGAACCUGCGCGAUUGGUGGAGACGCGCUUCUUCUGCGGUCCUGCGGACCUGUUGGGCAGUCUCACUGGAAGCAGAGGCUUUCUUCAGACCUUGAAGUUUUCAUCAGAUGGCUAUUUCCUGUAUAAUGUCCACCAAGGACACCAGCUGGAAGUGAGAAUUAAUAUACACUCAAUAAUUCGGUUUUGAAAUGUCCUGUAAAUGAAAUCCUACCGUAUUUUUACUCUGCAGAAUUCCGCAGAGGUACAUUCAGGUCGUUGCAUGUGUCAGUAGCUCUUCCUUUUUGUUGCUCCAUAGUAUUCCGUGGUAGGGAUAAAUAACAGCUGUUUAACAUUCACCUUUUAAAGGACAUCCUAGCUUUUCCAACUAUUACGGAUUAAACAAAAAUAAACCACCAAAACCCUGCUGUGAACACAGAGG
ensembl:lincRNA